rnacentral:lncRNA from 1 species
UAGUUGUGUGACUGGUUUUUUGACCUACGAUGUCACAGUUGCUCAUAAUAAAACUACUGUAGAUUGACUAUAUAUAAGCAUUGACUCCAUUAUGAAUUUUUAUAAUGGAUGUUGGCUUCAAUUGGUUGAUCUGUGGGAGCAAGCUGUACAUCUAGAUGAGAUCUAUCAACCUUGAUAGAGAGGAGUAGUUCUAUAAGAUUUAAAAAAUUGAGUCCACAAGUCCAUGGCCAUAGCAGUGUGAUUGAUGGAAAAGAGUUUUUAUUUGGAAUCACUAUUGAACUUGAGCUGAUCGAAUCUAUCAUAUGAUUGAAGAUG